ACAGACCUUGCUAUUCGAAAGUCUUCUUAAAUUAUAUUUUUCAUUUCUUCUCGUCAUUUUCCAAUAUUCGUCCAUUCUGGUGGAACCGAGGAACGAGAGAAGCAUUUGAUAAGUGUCCUAGAUCGGUCAUGCCCUGAGGUGUGUGCCCUCUGCCACUCCAUCUGCCCUUUGAGAGCAGCGCAGUGUUUCAUGUCAACCUGA
rnacentral:lncRNA from 12 species